AUUGAACGCUGGCGGCGGGCCUAACACAUGCAAGUCGAACGGGUGGAGGACGGGUGAGUAAUGUCUGGGAACCUGCCUGAUGGAGGGGGAUAACUACUGGAAACGGUAGCUAAUGCCGCAUACCAUCAGAUGUGCCCAGAUGGGAUUAGCUUGUUGGUGGGGUAACGGCUCACCAAGGCGACGCUCCCUAGCUGGUCUGAGAGGAUGACCAGCCACACUGGAACUGAGACACGGUCCAGACUCCUACGGGAGGCAGCAGUGGGGAAUCUUGGACAAUGGGCGAAAGUCUGAUGCAGCAAUGCCGCGUGUAUGAAGAAGGUCUUCGGGUUGUAAAGUACUUUCAGCGGGGAGGCGUUACCUGCCGAAGAAGCACCGGCUAACUCCGUGCCAGCAGCCGCGGUAAUAC
rnacentral:rRNA from 1 species